rnacentral:rRNA from 1 species
AGCAGCCGCGGUAAUUCCAACUCCAAUAGCGUAUAUUAAAGUUGUUGCAGUUAAAAAGCUCGUAGUUGAAUUUCGGGGUUCUUCCGUUGGUCGGACUAUCCAGUCUGUACUAGCGUGUAGAAUUCCUACCUUCUGGGAACCAUCAUGUUAUUAAUUUAGCGUGGUGGGAAACCAGGACCUUUACCUUGAAAAAAUUAGAGUGUUCAAAGCAGGCUUACGUCUGAAUACAUUAGCAUGGAAUAAUAGAAUAGGACGGUGGUCCUGUUUUGUUGGUUUCUGAAUCACCGUAAUGAUUAAUAGGGAUAGUUGGGGGCAUUAGUAUUCAAUUGUCAGAGGUGAAAUUCUUGGAUUUAUUGAAGACUAACUUCUGCGAAAGCAUUUGCCAAGGAUGUUUCAUUAAUCAAGAACGAAAGUUAGGGGAUCGAAGACGAUCAGAUACCGUCGUAGUCUUAACCAUAAACUAUGCCGACUAGGGAUCGGACGAUGUUAAAUUUAUGACUCGUUCGGCGCCUUACGGGAA